UUUUUAAUUCAUUAAUAAUAGACUUUUUGUAUAUGAAUGGUUAGUUUUUUAUUACCAAUAUCCCAAAAAUAAAAUAACAUAAAAGAGGUGUAAAAGUGAGUGUACAAGAGAUUGUUAUCUUCCUCGGCAUAGUUCUACAUACACCAAUUUCUUGAAAAUAUUAAGGAACUAAUUGGUGCAAAUUUUGGUUGAACAUACAAACAAACAAUACUAAUGCAAGGAAAUAAGCAAAUUCCUCAUCUCCCUUGUGGAUCAGACAUUGUCAAUUCAUUGGAAAUUGAAUCCGGUUUAUUUGAGGAUGAGGAUGAUAUGCUGAAAACAAGAUAUCUCAUUACAAAAGCUGGUUUCUUGGGAACUGGAACAACUAUAGUUUCGCCACUGAGCAUUAGGACUACAUCUGACACAGUGGGGCGAUCAUUGGGAUCUUCUUCCACACACAAAAGCCCAACACUAAUGCAUUUCAUAACUUCAGAUUUCUCACAAGAUUCAAGCAGUAUUGGGUCCACCGAAUCGAAUACCUUGUUUUACUCCACAAUCUCCAUACCUGCAGGAAUAGCUUCAAAAUAUUCUAGACUAUGAAUUGGCUAAAAUGUUGCAUAUAAAUGGAGAAAUUUAUC
rnacentral:lncRNA from 1 species